ACUCCUACGGGAGGCAGCAGUGAGGAAUAUUGGUCAAUAGGCGCAAGCCUGAACCAGCCAUCCCGCGUGCAGGAAGACGGCGCUACGCGUUGUAAACUGCUUUUCCAGGGAGAGAAACUUGCGCACGUGUUGCGCAAUUGACGGUACCCUGGGAAUAAGCAUCGGCUAACUCCGUGCCAGCAGCCGCGGUAAUACGGAGGAUGCGAGCGUUAUCCGGAUUCAUUGGGUUUAAAGGGUGCGUAGGCGGACUAUUAAGUCAGUGGUGAAAUCCUGCAGCUUAACUGCAGAACUGCCAUUGAUACUGAUAGCCUUGAGUUUGGUUAAGGUAGGCGGAAUGUGUAAUGUAGCGGUGAAAUGCUUAGAUAUUACACAGAACACCAAUUGCGUAGGCAGCUUACUGAGCCGACACUGACGCUGAGGCACGAAAGCGUGGGGAUCGAACAGGAUUAGAUACCCUGCUAGUC
rnacentral:rRNA from 1 species